rnacentral:rRNA from 1 species
GCGGCAGGCUUAACACAUGCAAGUCGAACGCAUCCUUCGGGGUGAGUGGCAGACGGGUGAGUAACACGUGGGAACGUACCCCUUUGUUCGGAAUAACCCUGGGAAACUAGGGCUAAUACCGGAUACGGCCGGAAGGCGAAAGGUUUACUGCAGAGGGAUCGGCCCGCGUCCGAUUAGCUAGUUGGUGUGGUAAUGGCGCACCAAGGCGACGAUCGGUAGCUGGUCUGAGAGGAUGGCCAGCCACAUUGGGACUGAGACACGGCCCAAACUCCUACGGGAGGCAGCAGUGGGGAAUAUUGGACAAUGGGCGCAAGCCUGAUCCAGCCAUGCCGCGUGAGUGAUGACGGCCUUAGGGUUGUAAAGCUCUUUUACCUGGGAAGAUAAUGACGGUACCAGGAGAAUAAGCCCCGGCUAACUUCGUGCCAGCAGCCGCGGUAAUACGAAGGGGGCUAGCGUUGUUCGGAUUUACUGGGCGUAAAGGGCGCGUAGGCGGACUGAUAAGUCAGGGGUGAAAUCCCAAGGCUCAACCUUGGAACUGCCUUUGAUACUGUUUGUCUUGAGUUCGAGAGAGGUAAGUGGAACUGC